ensembl:miRNA mir-2 miscRNA
UAUCACAGCCAGCUUUGAUGUGC